rnacentral:lncRNA from 1 species
GGCGGGAAAGGUGGGGAAAAGAUUGAGAAAUCGGAUGGUUGCCGUGUCUGUGUAGAAAGAAGUAGACAUGGGAGACUUUUCAUUUUGUUCUGCACUAAGAAAAAUUCUUCUGCCUUGGGAUCCUGUUGAUCUGUGACCUUACCCCCAACCCUGUGCUCUCUGAAACAUGUGCUGUGUCCACUCAGGGUUAAAUGGAUUAAGGGCGGUGCAAGAUGUGCUUUGUUAAACAGAUGCUUGAAGGCAGCAUGCUCGUUAAGAGUCAUCACCAAUCCCUAAUCUCAAGUAAUCAGGGACACAAACACUGCGGAAGGCCGCAGGGUCCUCUGCCUAGGAAAACCAGAGACCUUUGUUCACUUGUUUAUCUGCUGACCUUCCCUCCACUGUUGUCCCAUGACCCUGCCAAAUCCCCCUCUGUGAGAAACACCCAAGAAUUAUCAAUAAAAAAAUAAAUUAAAAAAAAAAAAGUUACUCAGGAGACCCUUUUAGAAAUACUUAGGGAAAGAUAAGCUGUCUCCUUGGGAUGACUGGGCUGGUGUCUGUGCAUAUGCCUUCUCUGGAUCCAAGUGACUUUACCACACCAAGCCUUAAGACUGCCAGACUGUUCUCUCCAUUGAAAGCCAUUCUGCACCACUGGCCAUACAGAAGGAAUCUCAUAUUCCAGGAGACUGGCCCAAACAGGACUGUUGAGUGGCUCUAAGGCUUUUAGACGUCAAAAGGGUUUAUAAGAAUAAUCAUCAUAAUAUAGUUAUGAAUCAGAAACAUGCAUACAUUUUCUUAAAUGACCCUGUGGGGAUGAGUUAAAAAGGGAGGAGUACCCAGAUGCAGGCGUCUAGCAGAAUGGACUUGCUUGAGAAUAUCAAGCAAGACAGCCAAAGAGGACUCCUAGGAUUGUCUCACCAGGACUUCUGAGGCGACUCUAAUGAAAUGACUUAAAAGUGUGGUGGAGUGGCUUCUGUGGCUCCCACACCUGCCUAAUCCUGGUUGAUAUUGCACAACCAGGGUGCACUGACAAUCUCUGGGAAAAAAGCAAGGUCUAAUAUUCAAAGCUUGGCAAACAUGACCAAGACUUUUUCUCUUUCCUUUGAAUUAUUUUAGUUCCCUAAUUUUUUGUCCCAUAUGCCACUUAAUUCUUUUUAUUUUGUAUUAAAAGUUGUGCUCUUGUCUCAACCUUCUUUCUAGAUUGGAUCCUGCAUGUUUUUUUUAUCAUUAUACUUUUGGCAGCCCUACCACUAGGCUUCCUGAAAUAUAGCACCUUUGUUUUUGUUUGUUUGUUUGUUUGUUUUGAGACCGAGUUUCGCUCUGUCACCCAGGCUGGAGUGCAAUGGCACAAUCUCAGCUCACUGCAACCUCUGCCUCCUGGGUUCAAGCGAUUCUCCUACCUCAGCUUCCUGAGUAGCUGGGAUUACAGGUGCGUGCCACCACCCCCGGCUAAUUUUUGUGUUUUUAUUGAGACGGGGUUUCACCAUGUUGGUCAGACUGGUCUCAAACUCCUGAUCCCAUGAUCUGCCUGCCUAGGCCUUCCAAAGUGCUGGGAUUAUAGGUGUGAGCCACCGCGCCCUGCCUGCACCUUUGUUAUAUAGAAAAUUCUUAUCAACAUUAUUGUCUACUUUUAGACUUUAUUUUGUUCUAUUGAACUAUUCUGGUUCUAGUACCAUACAUUAAAAUUAUAGCUUUAUAAUACUUUUUAACAUCUGACAGGAUGUGCUCCCCUUAUCAUCCUUCUUUUUCAAUAUUUUAUCAUUCUCACAGUUUUUCUCAGAUCAACUUCACAUGUAAUUUACAAAAAAAAUUAAAAUUACAUUGGUAUUUAGGUGGAAAUUAUGUUAAAUUUAUGUACUAAUCUGGAGAAGUCUUGUUUCGUAAUAAUAAUUCUUACCAUGAAGGAAAAUAGCUUCUCUCUCCGCUGAUUCAUGUUUUUUCUCAUGUCUCUCAGUAGAGUUUAUAGCUUUUUUUGUAUAAGUUCUCAUAAUUGCUUGAAUAUAUUCCUAAUUAUUUUAUUUUUGUUGUUUUGGGUGUGAAUGAGAUUUGUUUUUGUUCAUUUUUAAUGGGUUCUUGUUGGCAUAUACAAAAACCACUGAUUUUAAAAUACUUAUGUAAUAACUAGAUGUGCACCUACUUUUUUUUUUUCUUUUUUUGAAACGGAGUCUUGCUGUGUCGCCCAGGCUGGAGUGUAGUGGCGCAGUCUUGGCUCACUGCAGCUUCCACCUCCCAGGUUCAAGCGAUUCUCCUGCCUCAGCCUCCUGAGUAGCUGGGAUUACAGGCAUGUGCCACCACACCCGGCUAAUUUUUGUAUUUUUAGUAGAGACGGGGUUUCACCAUGUUGGGCAGGCUAUUCUUGAACUCCUGACCUCAGGUAAGGAGGUCACCCACCUUGGCUUCCCAAAGUGCUGGAAUUACAGGCGUGAGCCACACGCUCAGCUGACGUGUACCUACUUUAGAACGUGUGUCUCUUAUGUCAGCUUACCAUUAUUGUCCAUGUAAUUUGCCAUUUUAACAGACUAAAAAAGAAA